UUGAUGAUAAUCAACUGCAUGAACUCGAAUUUACACUCAUCUAAACUCGAUUAUUGAAGUGGCGUGAAAGAAGAAGGUUCCAACACUAGGAAAUCGGAAAGUUCACAAGAUCGAGGUAAAUCCUCACUUUAGGCGACUUGGCAAUUUGGAGCGAGCUCAUGCACACGUUAUGACCAUCAAGCGCUUCCGUUAUUUUGUAUUAAUGUUUUGGGUCA